rnacentral:ncRNA from 1 species
GCCCAAUUUCGCACGUGCCUGUGGUCGUGUGUCAGUCGGUAGGUAUCCGGACAAGAGGCCGGACAGCCGCCAAGGGGUGGAAGAACCGAGGGUCGCUUACGUCCAUUUGGACAGUCCAUCUGGACACGAGGCGGCCAGCAUCUCUCUCCAGAGAUGCCUUGUUGAAGGUGUCACCACUCUUUGCAACCGUGACUGGCAGCCGGAGGCGAACCGGCGCACCCCGCUCUCCACGGGGGACGCGACUUAAAGCAACGACGGAUCGGGCUUUU